rnacentral:rRNA from 1 species
UACGAAGGGGGCUAGCGUUGUUCGGAAUUACUGGGCGUAAAGGGCGCGUAGGCGGUGUGUCAAGUCAGGCGUGAAAGCCCCGGGCUCAACCUGGGAACCGCGCUUGAGACUGGCACGCUAGAGUUCGGGAGAGGAUGGUGGAAUUCCCAGUGUAGAGGUGAAAUUCGUAGAUAUUGGGAAGAACACCGGUGGCGAAGGCGGCUCACUGGCCAGUUUCUGACGCUGCAGCGCGAAAGCGUGGGGAUCAAACAGG